UGCACUCCAGCCUGGGUGAAAGAGCGAGACUCCGUCUCAAAAAAAAAAAAAGAAACGCUGUUGGGGGCAGGAGCCUGGAUCUCAACCCCUGCAAGGUGGAAAUCUGGCUUCCUCUCACCCAUACGAGCCUGCCAGAGGCAGGAGGCUGACGCCCCGGAGGGACCAGCUGACAUCGGCCUUGAGGGACCAGACUUCUCCAGGCCGGCAACCUUCUCCCAGCUUUGUGAGGUGGAGCCCAACCUCCAGACCAAGAGAGGCCUUCCUGACCUUCAACCCCAUCUCCAGAGCUCCCCAGAGCUGGUCUAGCCCCUCAUCUGACACACAGAGAAACGGAGACCAGGAACCUGACGCUGGUUUCCCUAGCCCAUGUGAGGACCCUGUAGACCAGCUACAUGCACACCCAGUCCAGCCGCCGGACAGCGUUCAGUGGGAAGAGAGCAGACCAUCGUCCACCCACAUUCCAGACUCCAACUGGCAGAGGGGAGGGGACGUUGGGGCUGCAGGGCCACCAAUGUGGACGGGACAGAGCCCCAGGGACAGCCUGUGCUGGGGACGUAUGGGGGCAGGAUCAGACCCCACAGUGCCUGCGGGCCACAAGGCCAAGACAGGAUCUGGUAAGUGACGAUUUGGAGGCUGGUCCUGAGGUGCAAGAGGGAGUGCCAGGGACAGAGAGGGCACCGGGGUGACUACAGUCCCUCCAGACUCACAUCUACCCGCACCUGUGGGUGGGGCCUUAUUUGCAUACAGGGUCUUUGCACACGUGGUUGGUUACAAUGAGGAUGCUGGAGGGGGUGGUCUGUGUCCCUGUUAACAACUCAUGUCCUUAAGAGAAAAGAGGAACGUGGACACCCACACAUCGGGAGACGGCCGCAUGGAGACGGAGCAGAGGCUGGAGUGACGCGGCCGCAGACCAAGGGCGCCUGGAGCCCCGGAAGCUGGGAGGGGCAGGAAGGGUCCUCCCCUGGAGCUACUCCUUGACCUCAGCUUCCUGUGGCCUCCAGGACAGGGACAGGCUGCUCUAAGCCACCCAGUUUGCAGCACUGCUGCGGCCGCCACGAGAAGCUCGUCCAGGGAGGAGGCUGCUCCAGCCCUGAGCCCCACGCGACUCCCGUGAGCACGAGGACUCGGGUGCCCUGGGGUGAGGCGGCACGAGGCUGUCUGUGGAUUUCCACAGCAUCCCAGGAGGCGUCUGGACCGCAGUGGCUCCAGGCUGCCAACCACGGGCAGAGGCCACCGCUCCCGAGCUUGGACCCUGCCACGCGCAGGCACAGGCCAGGCGGCGCCGGGGAAGCCUGGGGGCCCCAGACCGGCCCAGCACCGCCUGACAUUUCUCAAGCAUGCUGGGGGACGGCCCCUCAAUUUAGGAUGAGGACGAGGGAAAGGUGUACUGGCCAGACUCAGCGCCCUGAGGACGGGGUCGGAACCCAGCGCCCAGGAAGCUCCCCUCCCCCCGACCAAGGACCUCCCUCCAGGGUGUGCCCGGAGGAGGUCAAGACUCCACUGCCCUGAAGCAAACAAGGCGUCCAGCCCGAGCCAGGGUCACACGCCCAACAGGUAGGAUCCAGCAACCCCUGCGCAGCAGCCCCCGCCAUGCGAGGGAGGACCCGGAGUUGAGCGUGGCCCUGCCUGACAUCUGACCCCGCCGUCAGGAGCUCCACCAGGUCAGGGCUGCUCAGCUGACCCCACAGCCCCACCAGGCAUGGUCAGCACGGUGCCGAAUGCAGGCCUGGAAAGGGAAUAAAGGAGGCCCUGGGGAGGGGCCUUGGUGCUUCAUCCCAAGCCAACCCCGAAAGUGGAAGCCACAGGGCCAGGGGGACGUCGUGGCUGAGAUGCGAGCAGGGUGCCGGGCACCCCCAAGGCAGCACUGCUGUCCCUGAGAACAGAAGGAAGUCCAGGCCCAGAGUCAGAGCCAAGUGGAGUAGUGGUGGUUGCUGGCACUCAGUCCCGUACCCUUGGACAGAGCAAGAGUCCCAAGCCAGGAAUGUGAGGCCGAUGCCUUUUAGGAAGAAACCACAUCUGGGGAACCAGACCCCAGAUCCCAGAACCCAGACCUCAGAUCCCAGAUCCCAGAUCUCAGACCCCAGAUCCCAGACUU
rnacentral:lncRNA from 1 species